GGCUUCCGUAGCAUAGUGGUAGUGCGUUCGCUUCGUAAGCGAAAGGUCGCGAGUUCGAUCCUCGCCGGGAGCUUAGUUUGUUACGUUUUGAUA
rnacentral:tRNA from 1 species